rfam:Neotoma lepida isolate 417 scaffold_631, whole genome shotgun sequence.
UCAUCGGACUUUUUUAAGUCCAAAACUUCUUUCAAAGCAAAAUGAAU